GCCCGGGUGGUCUAGUGGUAUGAUUCUCGCUUAGGGUGCGAGAGGUCCUGCGUUCGAUCCGCGGCUCGGGCC
rnacentral:tRNA from 1 species